rnacentral:rRNA from 1 species
UACGUAGGGUGCGAGCGUUAAUCGGAAUUACUGGGCGUAAAGCGUGCGCAGGCGGUUUUGUAAGCCAGAUGUGAAAUCCCCGGGCUUAACCUGGGAAUGGCAUUUGGGACUGCAAGGCUUGAGUGCGGCAGAGGAGACUGGAAUUCCUGGUGUAGCAGUGAAAUGCGUAGAUAUCAGGAGGAACACCGAUGGCGAAGGCAGGUCUCUGGGCUGACACUGACGCUCAUGCACGAAAGGCGUGGGGAGCAAACAGG